GACGAACGCUGGCGGCGUGCCUAAUACAUGCAAGUUGAGCGCUGAAGGUUGGUACUUGUACCAACUGGAUGAGCAGCGAACGGGUGAGUAACGCGUGGGGAAUCUGCCUUUGAGCGGGGGACAACAUUUGGAAACGAAUGCUAAUACCGCAUAAAAACUUUAAACACAAGUUUUAAGUUUGAAAGAUGCAAUUGCAUCACUCAAAGAUGAUCCCGCGUUGUAUUAGCUAGUUGGUGAGGUAAAGGCUCACCAAGGCGAUGAUACAUAGCCGACCUGGGAGGGGUGACCGCCAACAUGGGACUGAGACACGGGCCCAAACCCUAACGGGGGCAGCAAGAGGGGAUUUUCCGCAAUGGACGAAAGUCUGACCGGGGAACGCCGGGGGAGGGAAGGAGGGUUUCCGAUCGGAAAACUCCUUUUGUUGAGAAGGACGUUGGGGAGAGUGGAAAGCUCAUCAAGUGACGGGAACUAACCAGAAAGGGAAGGCUAACUACGUG
rnacentral:rRNA from 1 species